ACCUGAGGGUUCAAAGUGAUAUGGAUUUAACAAGGCCUUUGGCGAGAGGUAGAACAGCUUCAUCUCAAGGCAGGAGCAUAUGGGUUCACUUUAGGUAUGAAAAACUGCCUUUUCUAUGCUUUUCCUGUGGUAGAAUCAUUCAUGGGUCUAAUGGCUGUCCAAAGAAGAGAGAGUUGAGGGAAAGGACUAGUGGGAGAGAUGAGCAAUUUGGGGCCUGGUUAAAGGUGAGUUUAGUGGGAAAGAAGAAAGGUGGUUCAGGGUUUAAUGGGGAAAUCAGAAGUGAGGGGAAAUGGAGAACCGAGGUGGAGGAAGAGAUAAUGUCUAGUCAUGUGGGGGGUAAGGAGAAACUCUAUAUAGUUGUUUUUCAACUUC